UCAGUUGCUCGCUGCCAAAUACUUCGCGGUGCACCUCCAAUGACGCCUGACUCGGCUUCAUGCCGAUCACCUCCAGUAAGCCUUCGGCCUGUUUCUGAAGUGUGCAGAUGGACUGAAAGAAACACACACACAUUACACAGAGUCUUUCAGAUGCCCGAUCCGACAAGUCCUUCAUCAAGCUAUCUGAUUGCAGAACACAAGUUUUAUUUUUUUGCUGUAUAGUGUGUGAGCACGCCUGCACGUCUGUGUUACCUGUCUGAGGGUCUGUGAGCAUCUGCUGGGGUUUUACUGGUUUUUCAUAAAAGUCCUUGGGG